rnacentral:rRNA from 1 species
GAUGAACGCUGGCGGCGUGCCUAAUACAUGCAAGUCGAGCGAACAGACGAGGAGCUUGCUCCUUUGACGUUAGCGGCGGACGGGUGAGUAACACGUAGGUAACCUACCUAUAAGACUGGGAUAACUUCGGGAAACCGGAGCUAAUACCGGAUAAUAUUUCGAACCGCAUGGUUCGAUAGUGAAAGAUGGCUUUGCUAUCACUUAUAGAUGGACCUGCGCCGUAUUAGCUAGUUGGUAAGGUAACGGCUUACCAAGGCAACGAUACGUAGCCGACCUGAGAGGGUGAUGGGCCAACUUGGAAUUGAAACCGGGCCCAGACCCCUAGGGGGGGCAGAAGGGGGGAAUUUUCCGCAAGGGGGGAAACCCUGCGGGAGCAACGCCGGGGGGGUGAUGAAGGUUUUCGGAUGGAAAAACCCUUUUUUUAGGGAAAAAAAAACGUGAAAGUAACUGUGCCCGUUUUGACGGUACCAAAACAAAAAGCCCCGGCUAACUACGG